rnacentral:rRNA from 1 species
UGGGGAAUAUUGCACAAUGGGGAAGACCCUGAUGCAGCGACGCCGCGUGAAGGAAGAAGUAUCUCGGUAUGUAAACUUCUAUCAGCAGGGAAGAAAAUGACGGUACCUGACUAAGAAGCCCCGGCUAACUACGUGCCAGCAGCCGCGGUAAUACGUAGGGGCAAGCGUUAUCCGGAUUUACUGGGUGUAAAGGGAGCGUAGACGGAGCAGCAAGUCUGAUGUGAAAGGCGGGGGCUCAACCCCGGCGCACGCAUUGGAAACUGUUGAUCUUGAGUACCGGAGAGGUAAGCGGAAUUCCUAGUGUAGCGGUGAAAUGCGUAGAUAUUAGGAGGAACACCAGUGGCGAAGGCGGCUUGCUGGACGAUGACUGACGUUGAGGCUCGAAAGCGUGGGGAGCAAAACAGGAUUAGAUACCC